rnacentral:tRNA from 1 species
UCCCAGGUAGCUCAGUUGGUAAAGAAUCUGCCUGCAAUGCAGGAGACCUGGGUUUGAUCCCUGGGUUAGGAA